rnacentral:rRNA from 1 species
CACGUUGGUAUCUGCCCCCAACGUACAGGAGUAGCCACUUGGUAAACGGAAUGAUUAAAUUAACCGGACGUAGUCUCUUCGGUAGGUAAAGAAUUUAUUUGCUUGGGGUAGGGAGCCUCGCGUUCUAUCAGCUUGUUGGUAGUGUAAAGAACUACCAAGGCUAUGACGGAUACCUGGUCUGAGAGGAUGAUCAGGCACAAUGGAACUGAGACACGGUCCAUACUCCUACGGGAGGGCAGCAGUGAGGAAUCUUCCACAAUGGACGAAAGUCUGAUGGAGCGACACCGCGUGAAGGAUGAA